rnacentral:lncRNA from 1 species
CAUCUAUCGAAUACGUUUGAUUCAAACCGUUUUUGUUCUUUCAAAAUAUUUUGUUUGAGACGACGUCAUACUCAUACUGCAUCAUUUCUGUGUUUGAACUUCGUACGUCGAACAAUGGAUUGAUAUCUUGAUUUGAAUUUCAAUUUAAUUAAAAACCGAUCUCUAUUCGCUCCCGUUUUCACGACAUAUAAGAACACGGGAGCGAUAAGAG